rnacentral:ncRNA from 2 species
CUAAAUAUUGUUAUUACAGGUGGCUGUUAACUGCAGCUUAAAAGGGAAUCAGGUGAAAAUCCUGAACGGUCCCGCCGCUGUGAUGGGGAGAUACUUCAUAUUAGAGCCACUGGAUAAAAUCCGGGAAGGAAUGGAGUAUCGUUGAACCAGAGUCAGAAGACCUGCCUGUAAUAUUGCACCAUA